GUUCCUCUUCAUUGUGGAGGUUCCUCCCUGUGGGUGGGGUUGGAUGAGUGGUUUGUCAAGGUUUCUGGUUAGGGAAGCUUGCGUCUGUGUUCUGGUGGGUGGAGCUGGAUUUCUUCUCUCUGGAGUGCAAUGAAGUGUCCAGUAGUGAGUUUUGAGAUGUCUGUGAGUUUGGUGUGACUUUGGGCAGCCUGUAUAUUGAAGUUCAGCUAUGUUCCUGCUUUGCUGGAGAAUUUGUGUGGCUCUGUGAAUCCUCAGUUCUCAGAGUCAGAAAUCCUGGAGUGUGAAGUAAAGUGGGCCUUAGGAAGCAUCACUAUGAACAAAGCUAGUGGAGGUGAUGGAAUUCCAGUGGAGAUAUUUCAAAUCCUGAAAGAUGAUGCUGUGAAAGUGCUACACUCUAUAUGCCAGCAAAUUUGGAAAAUGCAGCAGUGGCCACAAAACUGGAAAAGCCAGGCUUCAACAGUACAUGAACCGUGAGCUUCCAGAUGUUCAAGCUGGAUUUAGAAAAGGCAGACGAACCAGAGGUCAAAUUGGCAGCAUCCUAUGAAUCACUGAAAAAGCAAGAGAGUUCCAGAAAAAUAUCUACUUCUGUUUUAUCAACUACGCCAAAACUUUUGACUGUGUGGACCACAAGAAACUGUGGAAAAUUCUGAAAGAAAUGGGAAUACCAGACCACCUGACCUGCCUCUUGAGAAACCUCUAUGCAGGUCAGGAAGCAACAGUUAGAACUGGACAUGGAACAACAG
ensembl:lncRNA